UACGAAGGGGGCUAGCGUUGUUCGGAAUUACUGGGCGUAAGCGCGCGUAGGCGGCACAUUUAAGUCAGGGGUGAAAUGCCGGGGCUCAACCUCGGAACUGCCUUUGAUACUGGAUGUCUGGAGUUCGGGAGAGGUGAGUGGAAUUCCGAGUGUAGAGGUGAAAUUCGUAGAUAUUCGGAGGAACACCAGAAGCGAAGGGCGGCUCACUGGCCCGAUACUGACGCUGAGGCGCGAAA
rnacentral:rRNA from 1 species